rnacentral:rRNA from 1 species
UACGUAGGGGGCGAGCGUUGUCCGGAUUUAUUGGGCGUAAAGAGCGUGUAGGCGGCCAGGUAGGUCUGCUGUGAAAACUCGAGGCUCAACCUCGAGACGUCGGCGGAAACCAUCUGGCUAGAGUCCGGAAGAGGAGAGUGGAAUUCCUGGUGUAGCGGUGAAAUGACGCAGAUAUCAGGAAGAACACCCGUGGCGAAGGCGGGCUCUCUGGGACGGUACUGACGCUGAGACGCGAAAGCGUGGGGAGCGAACAGG